GUCAAAUGUGGGGUGCUUGAAUCAGCUCAGAGUGUGUUACAAGAUAUCCGAGUGGAAAAACAGGAGAAGUUCUUUCCAAACCUUAUUUACACUCAGAGUCUAGGACAUAUGGCAAUUACCUCUGAACUACUUCAUAAGCAAUCAGUAAUUGUAAAACAGAUGUGCAAAUUGUUUCCGCAACGUCGGGUGAUUAUAGAAGGGGAGAG
rnacentral:misc_RNA from 1 species